rnacentral:antisense_RNA from 1 species
AAUAGCCAAGAAUAACUCUCGGAUCUAAAGUUGGAUUGACUAGUCUGACUUCACCACCACCAGGUGCCCAUGUGUCAUAUGCACCGCCAAUAAAACACCAGUUUACUGACCAUGCUAGUGCACCUACACCCAAAACAAUCAAAUGAUAUCCAAGGAUGUUUGUCAUUUGGUUUUUAUCUCUCCA